rnacentral:lncRNA from 1 species
UACCAGACAGAAUUAGAUCUAUAGGGUCACCUAAACAAGGAUUUUGAUCUAGGAUUGCACAAUUGGACUAAGUGUAGUCUGAUUGGAUUAGAAUUAAUUAAGUCCUAACUUUGGAUUUAAAGAAGCCAUACUAGCACAUGGUUAAAUCCAUUCUCUCCUACUUGAUUUGGAUUUCCUAUUAAAUAGGAUCUAAUCAAAUUUAAGCAAACUCAUUAGGACAAUAAGAGUUGGAGUCUCUGAAGCCUUCCAUCAUGUAACGAUUAAAGGAUGGAGGCACCAAUAGUUGGCGCACUAUUGGUGUCCCACUUUUCGACGUGUAACGAUUGAAAUAUUCGGGAGAGAUUAGAUGGGACACCCCAAAUGGAUGAGAUCAAAAGGGGCACCACCUUAUGGAUAGGGAGAGAGGAUAGGGAUAAAGCUUAUAUGAAUUUGAAGAGUUCAAAUUUAAUUUGAGAUGAUAAGGAUAAGAAGGAGAUGGUUAUGUCUGAAUUCAAAUUCAGGUUUGAAUUUGGAUUUAAAUUUGAAGUGUUCGAAUUCGAAUAAGAGAGGAUUAACUUGGGCGACAACAACCCUUAUCCCUUACACUCACCAUGUUUGAAUUCUUCGAUGAUUUUAUGUGACAAAAUGAGGGGAGAAAUUAGAUGGUGUAGUGCCUUAACAGAGUCCUUCUGCUUUAAGGCAUUUGAUCCGAUCAAAUGUCUAUAAAAGGAUCCCUAUCAAAUGGUUUGACACUAGUGCUCACCUUAAGAAAUUCUCCAUGCCACCUUUCCUCUUCUCCAUGCCAUCUCCUCUCUCUUCUCUGAUCUCUGAUCCUCUCCCAUGUCCAAAGAUGUUGGGCAUUUCAUCUAGUGGUCUCGAAGUAUCGAGUUUCGUCCGAUCUACAUGAAAAACCAAAAAAGCUGCAAUCAAGCACAUCCCUGCCAGAGAUCAGAUCCAAGGCUGAUCCAGGAGCUUACAGAAUCAUCUAGGAGUAGAUGAAUUGAAGAUGGAGAGAGCAUCCUAGUCUGAGUCCGAGUGGAAAUCUAUAGAGAUCGGGUACAUGCGCGGCUCAACAGCGAACUUCGAAUCCACAGAUCAUUGAACUGUGGAGUUCUACCCACGCAAGAUGAUAUGAUCAUAUCUUAAUAUUUUGAUUUAAAUUAUUUAAAUAUUUAUUUUUUAAUCUAGAUGCAUGAUCGAUUUGGCUACGAUUGAGAUCAGAUCUCGAUCGGAUCGCACGUUGGAUCGAAAUUUUUUUUUGAAUUCUACUGCACUCUAUUCUGAUCGAUCGAACAUGUGGUCUUUCCUUCACGAGCAUCCCAAGAGCUUGGUAAAUUAGCCAUUUGCAAAUUUUGAGAGGUCAAUGCCAAAUAGUGAGCUCUAAUUGUAGUUGUUCUUCAAGCCAGUGAGCAGUUAAAAAAUUUACAAGAUAAAUUUUAGAUUUUGCACAAACUUUUUCAACAUUACAUAGAAUUAUUGUAUCAUCUGUGUAUUGUAGUGAUAAUAUGCUUCCUUUGGUGUUUAGUGGGUCUAUACCUUUGAUUAUAUUAUGUUUGAUCGUAUGUUUGAGAAAAUAAAUAAGGACAUCAGCCACUAGGACAAACAGAAGAGGAGACAAUGGGUCUCCUUGUUUGAGGCCUUUUUUUGCUUGGAUCUAUCUUGUAGGUUUUCCAUUUAUUAGAAGGGUCAUCUUUGAAGAAUUCAUAAUAGAAGUAGUCCACUUACACCACUUGCUUCCAAACCCCUUGGCCUCUAAUAGGGUGAUGAGAAAUCUCCAAUCUAUGUUAUUAAAGGCCAUCUCGAAGUCUGUCUUGAAAAGUAUCCCUUUCUUUCUAUUCUUUUUACUCGAAGAAAGAAUUUUCAUUGCACUGAGAUAGAUAUCAUUGAUUAAUCUACCAUCGAUGAAUGCCGACUGAGAUUCAGUAAUGAGAGCAUUCAUGUGCUCAGCAAGUUUAUUGCUUUAUAACUUGGAAAAAAUUUUCAUGAUCCCAUGAACUAAGGAGAUGGAUCUAAAGUCCUUGAUUCAGCAGUUCUCUUGGGCUUUUGGGAUAAGAGAGAUGUAAUUGAAGUUUAGCCUUGAUAUCUUCAUAUUGUUAUCAUAAAUUUCAUAUAAAAGCCUAAUGAGAUCAUCUUUCAUGACAAAUCAGAAGUGCUGAUAAAAAGUUGCAGGAAGCCAUGGGGCCCUGCAGCGUUGUCUUUUGCAAGGCUAAAAAUUGUAUUUUUUGUUGCUUCUUCAGAGAAUCUCGACUCCAAGUCAUUAAGGCUUAUUUGAUCCACAUCGAGCAAAGUGUUCCAGUUUUCUUCCAGAUUAGUGCUUAAGGUCUGACCAAGAAGUUCCAAGCAAUAUUGGACAAAAAUGCUCCUUAGGUGUUUCGGAUCAUCUAUCACGAUGUCUUGAUGCUUUAUGAAUAGGAUAAAGUUCUUCCUUCUUCUUGUACUUGCAUUGAGAUAAAAGAACUAAACAUUUCGAUCUUUGUGUUUAAGCCAUUGAAUUCUAGCCCUCUACCUCUCCAUAGCUUCCUCUAUGCUUCCAUCAAAGAAACGUCUAGCAAUCCUUAAGGAGAGGGAGGUCGAAUCAUCAGUGAUGUCAGUAGCGCUAAUGGCUGGUAGUGGUUUAGAAGGUUUGAAAACACCGACUGGUAUUAGGUGUGGUAUAGAUUCUAGGGAGUAAGUGGCCGCUGGUUCCUUGGUUAGUGUGUCCAUAACAUCAUGAGGAAAGGCUUGAGUGGUGUUUGAAUUUGAAUGUGUGCAGUGCUGUUGUGAGUUCAUCUGGCCUCAAGUAUUCAGCUGGCUCAUUGAUGUGUUCAAGGUGAAUUGUGGCCCUCUUGAAUAGAAGUUUGAAAGAAUUAAACAGUACCAUGACAUAGGAAACUAAGAAAGGUGGUUGAUGUAGUUGGGUUCACAGUAGUCAAACUUGUGUCAUAGUUCAAUAAGAGAGAAGCUGCUUUGUUGUAAGGGGUAUGGUAAUGUUCAUUCCAUAUUCAAAGUCGGUGAGGUGGUCUUUGUUAUCGGAGCACCUCCUGCCUCCUCGACCAAUGAUUGACUUUUAUCUGAUCGUUGCAUGUGGUGUUGCCAUGAUCUGUUGGAUAGAGAGCGACCAUCCCGAUCAUUCCAUAAGUCCCAAUCAUCACCUCCAUUAUUUUGAUCUCCUUAUGUUGACACUUAGUCCUCUAAGUGAGGACUAUGCUCUGAAACAAAGUUGAGAGUUAUCAAAACAUUGUAAGUGUGAGGGCCAACCGUUACUUCUAUGGUUUCGGGGAUGUGUUCCAGGCCUUCGUAGUAGAAUACAACGUCAAAACUUGUGAGAUCCCCCCAUCUAAGACUUUUGAGUGACUUGCUCGAUGUGGCACCCAAGUCCGAAUAGAAUUGUUGCAACAGCAUUAAUAGUUCAGCAAAAGAGGAGGAGAUUUUUAAGUGUUGCAUAGACUUUGAUCAUCAAUUUGUGCUACAUACUCCCUUGGAACUAGUUCCAACGACUAACUAACAAGGUGAAGCCAUCACCUCGAGUAUGACCCUCUGCCAUUAAGGAAUGAAGCGUCUGCAAGUAAAAGAAGGAUACAUGAACUUUCUCGCCUUGUAGGCAAGGGUAGUCGAGACAUGAUUUGGUUUAAUGGGAUGACCAAAGGUUUGCACGAAAGCAGCCCUAUCUAGGUAAGCAUGGAUCUCCACCAUUUUGGUGGUGAAAGGUAGGAAAACUUUUGGAUUGUGUUGUGUUGAUUGUGGGAAGGGCUCAACAUUUUUCUCUAGGUAGGGUUUUGGAUUUUUUUUGGAGCCCAAAGAGAUGGAUUUGCAGCUUUUGGCUGAGUGCCCAAGUUUGUGGCACUUGAGGUAGCGUAUGGGAUUCUGGCAGCUUCUCUUGAUAUAUCCAGGGUAUCCACAUCGGAAGUAAACCUUCCUUUUAAAGGGUUUGCCAUCGAAUGGUGAUGGGGUAGGAUAAGACUAUCGCAGAGGGUUAAGGGGGGAGAGGUGUACCUUACCUGGUGGAUGUGAGGAGUGGGUACCUUGUCUGUCUAUCUCUUGGUUCUUGGACUCCUUCCUUCAAUGCUUUUGCAUAAGAUUUUUUUUUUGAGUUUCAAUGUUUGGCUAUUCACACUUUCUCCCAUACCUUAAUGUGAUAAUCUCUGAUGUUGGACUCCUCCGGCAACCUCUCGAGAUGUCCGCUAGUUAAUGCUAUGUUGAUUUUCUUGCUCCCAUCUUUCGUAUUCGGCAUGAUCGUACUUCUAUCCAUGCACCGUUUGCAAUCGAUCGAUCGAGGUGCUUUGAGAAAAUAUUGCUUGCAUCUACUUUGGUAGAAGAGGCAUGGAAACCCAAUCCGGCUAUGUGGUAUGGUGGAUGGUAUGGUUGUGGGGUUGAGGUAGGAUUUAAAUCUUCCAUUUCUGAACUUUUCAUGGUAGUCUCCGAGUCGAAUGGAGUUUGCACCAGUUAGAAUCGAUUUCUGGCGUGUGUGGUGACACUUUGGGGCUGAGGAUGGGAUGGGUUCGCCAGCUUGGAAGGUCCUUGAGGGGUGGGGACUCUUAUGGGGACUCUAUUUUUCUUCACCGAAUGCUUGCCAAAACCAAGAAGGCACAUUAAUUUGUAUGCCUUGCCUAAGCACAUCUAUCCCUGUUCCUAUUUCUUCCUUUAGUUAUCUUCCUUUCCCCUUUAUUCUUAUUUUUCUCUAACAAUUAGAUAGUGAACUUUCCCAAAUGAAUUCUAUCUCCUUAAUAGAGAAUAUCAUACAUGAAAUGUAGAGGUUAGAAAAGUUCAAGGAGCCCAACUACAAAAUGUAUAGGCUGAAAAUUUAGUAUUAGGUUACCAUUGUCAAAGUUGGCUAUGAUGCCAAUAACAUCAUAUGUAGCAUGUCAUUUACCUGAAAGAGAGUAUUCUGAGAUGUGGAAAAAAAUGGCAUGAGAAUGACUACAUUUGUCAUUAUGCUUCUCAAUGGCAUGACAAAUUCAUUGUUUGAUGUCUGUCAUAAAUGUGCAAAGAGUCAUGGACCACUCUGGAACAUAGUUAUACCAAUAAAGAUAUUGGUAAUUCUUCUUUCAUGAUUAAAAAGUACGUCAACUUUGAGAUCGAUGAUGCUAAAUUCAUAAUUGAGCAAAAUCAUUUCUACACUUGUGCAUGAUAUUUCUGAAUAUGGGGAACCGGUUAUAGAGAAUGUCCAAGUUUCAAAUGUAAUUGGUAAACUCCCUCCCUCAUAGAAGUAUAUCAAUAUAUUUUGACAUAUAAUGAGAAACCUGUCACUUUGAAUGAAUUAAUUUAGCAUAUCUAGAUUGAAACUCCUACCCUCAUCAAGUACAAAUUCUGCUAUGAGUAUUACAUAGGAAAUUAGUUCUUGCUCUCUUUUUGUGGAAUCUUCUGUGAUGACUUCAGCUGAACUCGAAGAACAGACCUACGCAGGAUCAAUUAGUACUCUUGGGCACCAGAAGGGAAGUCUUAUUAAAGAACUUAAGAGAUGGUCACAGAAUUAAUAUGUUUUACCUAGAUUUGAAAAAAGAAGAGCAGAGAUCCCUGUAGCAUAUCAAGGCAGAAAUGAGGUGAUUAAGAGUUUGAAACUUUGAUACUAUUGGAGGCAUCAAUUUUGCUUCUUUAGUUUAUGUAAUUGUAAAGUAGUUCACAAGAUUUGUCUUUUUGUGGAAACACAUACUAUUGUGGUAGCUUGACUAUGCUGAUCAAGGUGUGUUGGCUGAUUGAUCAAGCUAUUGAUCCAGGUGGAUGAGUCAGGCAUAUGGGGCGGUCCGGUCCGAGGGGAAAGCAAGGAAACUUGAGUGAUCGAUAUUUGAUUAAAAGAUAAAUCUGAAAGUAUUUUCAAUGCAAUUUCUCCUUGAGAUAACUGAACCACCAAGGGAAUAUUACAAAAAAUCUUUUCUUGUAAGACCAGUUGUUUUAAGUUUGAGAGUGAAUUGACCUUGAGGAAAGUUGCACAAUUUAAGAUAAAAAACACUUCGACUCCUAAGCAGCAGUAAAAUGCUGCAGAAGUGUGUGAGAGGGAUCUAAUGUUUUUCUAUUUUGUUAUUAUUGUUUAGGAAUCUAGCUGUUUCUAGCAGCUAUAUUUACAACAACUGCAUUUGCAAGAUGUUAGCUGAUUUCUGAACUCCAGGAUUGGGUCCAUAAAAGCCGGGCUGGGAUAGGGUUAUUCUUUGCUCUUGCAUAUUGUCCUAAUUAACUUUUUGCAGCUAGAGAGAUGCCCUAAACCUGCAUCAUGCCAUUAGCGUCUGGUGCCAAACAGCACUAACAUCCCUUGCUACAGCAUCUCUUCAAAGAUUGUGGGAGACUAAGCUUGCAGUGCUUCGGGUAGAAUUGAUUGGACUUUAAUUAGAAAGUUAAUCUGUAGUCUGAUUAGUUUCUCUAUAUAUAGUAGUACUGGCUGACAAAAGAAAUGAAUUGUAGAAGAAGAUAAAGGGCUCAAGCUAGGCUUGAUAGAUGACCUAUCAAGCUCAUGCAACUAGGAAGUAGACCAAGCUCCAUUACUUUUGAAGGUUGGACUUGUAUGCCAGCCUACCAUGAAUACUUUGUGUUUGCCAAAAAUGAGAAUAAAAGUUUGGCCUCGAAUACUCUCAAGAGUAGUUCAAGCUAAACCAAGAUUAGAAAAAAGUUGAGCUUUAUGGAAUAUAAAUUUCAGCUUGAUUUUCUUAUUCAUAUAAUGAGCAAAACCUAAGUAGUAUACCAUUCAGUUCAGCUAGAACCCACUGCCGCCCCACCUUGGCCAUAGGCCUUCUAUCACAUAUAUAGACAUAAAUAGAUAAAAAUAAAAAUAAAAAACGCUGUUUGUUCAGCUUGGCUCAUUUGCACCCCCAUGGUUGGGGACGCGUUUGAUUGGGAAAUAAGGGUGGAGUAAGGGAUGGCAAUCCCGACUGAACAUUAUAUGCCAAUCCACAAACAACCUAAAAACAUAUAAGAAGAAUAUUAGUAUUCUUAAGAGAGGGAGGGAAUUAUUUUUUCCUUUUUGAUCCAAAGAGAAUCCAUCUCAAAGCAGACAGACAGAUGUUCUACCAAACCAAAAAAAGUAGACAAGUAGAUGCAGGAACAACAAUUCUCAGAUCUUGCUGUCUGAAAAAUAAAUUCAAUUUUAGUCUUGCAAAGUCCAUACAAAACUGUUUACAUGAGAGAAAAACUACCCACCUUGUAGUUACUCAAAAAACCUGUAGUUUUGUUUUCGAUAAAGAAAAGUAUAGAAGACCAAGGUCUUCUUGAAUAUAUACAGCUAUUCCUUAAAUAAAAGAAAGAGAUUGUAGUUUCCACAGCUGCAUCUUUAUAAAAUCAUAAAUCCUUUGAAACUUAUCUGCAUGUUGAACCAUUGCCCCAGUUAUUUGGUUUAGUUUUGUUUGUUACCGCAGUUCUAAUUAGAUACUGCAGUAAUUUUUUUAAAUUUUUAUGUUUCACGACCAGAAGUUUGUCAAUAUUACAUAUAACAUGGUUUCUUAUCUCUAUUUACCAAUCGAAUCAUAUAAAAUAAUUUUUAUUUGCAUGAUGGCCCUUUUAUUAGUCUUCCAUUGCCUAUAUUAACCAAUGUCAGUUAAGUUAAUUAGGGAUAGUAAAUAACUAUCUUAUCCCUGGGUACUCUAAUUAAACCAAGAGUCCAUACGAGGGUUUUAGAUGCUUUUUCCUUGUCCCUUUGAUGGUUACUCUCUUUCUCUAUCUAGGGUUUACUAAGGACUUGGCACCGGGUUGUUCAUACGUUGCUAUCCGUCAAGAAUCUGCAGACCUUGAUGAUGCUGGUCUUUAUAAGAGAACUCAAGAAUGUUGGCUAUGGCAGCAAUGAGUCUAGUCCUAUAUAUCCAUGGCAAGACAUGGAGAUAUCAAUGCUUCCAAGUAUGGCCGCUGUAAACAAAGUUGUUGCACAUAAGCGAUUGAAGUAAAGGACAUGGGCAUGGUUGGUGUAGAGCCAAAGCUCUCAAGCCUUAAUUUGGAGCAGGGUAGCUUCCUUCAUGGCAUAGGAGAUGUAGUGGUUGUGAAUGGUAUUCUAGUGGCAAUAGUGGAAGGAAAGCUCGAGAAAGCAGUGAUUGGAGGAUGGCACUAGGAGGGCACAUUAGGGAGGAGGAGGAGGUUUUGAUGGUGUGCAGGUGUAGCGGAGAGGAAUGAAACGGAAGGAGUCAAGGAUAGUGCGGGAGGGGACAUGGCAAAUGGAGUUGCAUGACUAAUUAGCUAUGAGGGUAGAGGCAAGGUGGUAAUAACUAAGGUCACUUUAGAUGGCAUUACAACAUCUCAUUAUUUUGCUUCAUCAUCAUGGCUAACUCUGAGAACUCAAGCUCAUCAUCCUUGACAUUAAGGACCUCUAUGACAUCUUGUAGACCUUUGACAUCAUUAAUAACAAAUACAACAACAGUUGCAAAAGGUUCUUGAAAGAGGAAGAUCUCCUCACUUGGCUCUAUCACCGACCAAAUCGACCUUUAGCUUAACUCCUCGAACUUGAUGCUGACCAAAUCUAUGAGAUUUAGAGAAGGCUAUCUUGGAUUGACUUUUUGAACAUCGCCAAGCAAAUUGAUGAUAUCUAAAAAUUUAAGGUGACGAAUGUAAAGAUUCGCAAAACUUAUGGACAAAAAAAGUAAAUAAAUAAAAAAUCAAAAGGAGAAGCAAAGUGGGUAUAUUGAGAAAAAUAAAUUAAAAAAAAAGAGGAUAAAGUUAUAGGAGUAAUUUUAUAUCAUGAUUUUUAAUAGCCUUUCUAAUAGGUGAAGGAAAUGGCCCUUCCUUGAUAUGUUAGGUUUAAACUAGCCCAAGGAUUGUCUUGCAAAUCAAAAUAAUCCAGGUUGAUUUGCAAAUAGAGAUAAGGGGAAGUGUUCUGCAUAAUAUUGGCAAAAUCUUGAUUGUGAUAAUACUUACAGAAAAUAAUGUAAUUUUUCCUUGUAGAAUAUUUGCAGCGUAUUAAGAUAUCUAAACUUUUGAUAUGUGUCGGAUAUCUAGGAUCCUAUGAUAUAGCACUUUAUUUUGGGCAUUCUUGGGGUCCGUUGGCUGGACGAUACAUAAAUUAUUUGUAGAUUUAGGGAAGUCAUUUAGGUACAAUCAAUCAUCCAAAUUGAAAAUUUCACUAUAAUGACGCCCAAAUGUGAUUAAUUGUUGUGGAUAGAGCUAAAUUAUUUUUUUAUGCUGAUGACUUGUAUGUUUUUAAUGUCUUACUAAUAUACAUGAAUGCUCGUGCUCUAUGUGUGUAUGGGUGUGGGUGGUUAACUAUUUAUAUCAAUCAAAAUAUUAUGAUAUUUUCUAUUAAGAGCAUGUCUGAUAAUUAAGAUAUUGUAGUUUUUUUUUAGAGAAAAAGACAUUGCAUUUUCUUUCAUAUAUAUUAGCAAUGUAACGCAAUUAUAUGGAAGAAUUAAGAGAAUUCAGUAAGAUGUUCAACUAUGCACAUCUAUAUAUUCUCUAAACUCUCCAACGAAGGAAAUCUUCUAUGCUGGGUAGGCUUAGGCUGAAAUUAUUUCUUUGUAUCUGUGUGUGUUUUGUGUCUAUAUAUACAUAGUUUUCUAGGUAAUAUUUGUGAAAAACUCUGUUUGUAUGUGUAAAUUAGUGUUGAUCGAUAUAUAUUUGCUUUGUUCAAGUUUCGUGUCAUUGAGAUGUAAUCAUUUCAUCUUCUCUAUAUGGAAUUAGAUAAAUAAUUUGAUCUUUUUUUCAAAAAAAACAAAAUACAAAUCAUGUUUCUUCCUUUCUCUAUUUCCAUCUUGCAAUAUUAAUCUAACAUUGGUUGUUAACUCUCGCAUUUUACCAAGUUGUCACCCUUAUUUUGAUGGUCACUAAUUAUGCCCGAUUGUCUUCUUCAACUGUGUAGCAAGCUACAAUCUUCAUUUUGUAUAGUUUAAUUCUACGUAAGAAUUUGGAAAUUCUCCCUUCCACUCUCAUUAUCAGGUGCCCCCCACAACUUGUUCUUUUUACAAAUCAAUGCUCCCACCUUAACUUUGCCAUUCUUGCGUCCGUCCACCCAUCAUCAUCUCGUCCUUGGCUUCUGAUUCACUGCUCAACUGCACCGUCAUGCCCACCCAUUUUGACUGGACUUUUACCACUUUUUUGUCAGCAUAACCUCAUUGAUGUCAUCAUGAAUGCACCUUUUUUCGCGCCUUUAUCACUGCUUGUUCCGUGCACCUUGCUUAACCUCGUCCUCUUGGUUGUCACUUCCAUGCAUACCGGUCGUACAUAUGAGACACCAUGCCUCACAUGGAUCAUUACCAUUUAUUUAUUAUUUUAAAUAUUUUUUAUUUUUUUUUGGCAAUUUAGUAUAUUGUUUGAGCAUAUGAACUCGAUGGAAAAGUUUCUGAGCAUUAUUAUAAAAAAUAAAAAAAUUAUGAGCAUGGAUAUUAUUAUAGCGUAGAAAAAUUUUUUUUAGUUCCACAUCAGUAAUGAGCUAAGAGAAAAUAUAAUUUAUAUAAAUUGAAAUCUUCUCUCCUACAUGAGACAUUUUUUAAAGGACAAAAUAUUUUAAAUGAUCAAGAUCCAUUAAAAUAAAUAAUCCAUUGAAACUUAAGAUUCACUGAAGGCUAUAGAUGAUCAUGAGUCAAAACGAACAAUACCUUAGUAUGUGGAGGUGGCUAUGUUGUGGUGUAGAGAGAACUUCUUUAGUUCCACAUCGGUUAUGAGUCAAGAAAGAAUAUAGUUUAUAUGGAUUGAAACUUUCUCUCCCGACUCUAAAUGAUCAAGGUCCAUUGAAGUCUAAAGUCCACUGAAAUCUAAAGAUGAUCAUGAGUCAAAACGAACAAUACUUCACAUGUACGAAGGCAGAGAUAUAAGCCAACUAUUUAAGCAAUUUAUUUUGAUUUUUUGAUCUCGUAUAGAUAUCCAAAAUCUAUCCGGUAAAUAGUUAAUGUAGAAUUGAAUAUAUGCUCGCAUGAAUUCUCAUAUACUGUCUUCAUUUAAGUCUCGAUAUUCUUAAUUUAAAUUUAUUUAGAUUCAAUUAUAAUUACAUCACAAAUAAUGUAAUUAGCCCAUGAUCAGCCUAUGGGUCCAUGCUGCAACACCUCUUAGUCCAAAAAAGCUGUUGAUUGGGUUCGUUCGCAUAUUAUUUGCAACAAUUUGAAAUCUUACCCAAAAAGAUUAAUUAAAAAAUAUUAUUUUAAUUUUUGAUCAUAUAUAAAUAUUUAAAAUUUAUUUAAUAUCUAAUUGAUGUGAAAUUAAACACGUGUGGAUCUCAAAAUAAUUGCCUUCAUGGACAUGUUAUUAUGGCAGAGUGAAACCCUCAUUCUUCUAUAUUCUCUCAUGUAUUUCUGUUAGUAGAGUUGGUAACUAGGCCAAUUCUCUUAACUAACGACUAUAGAUUAAUUAGCCCAUUAUUAUACUGCAUAUCUGCCAUGCCUCAUGAGCGCUGGCUGUAACCAUAUGGUUGGUUACAUUUUGUCAAGAUUCUUAUAACGUAAGACAGCUGCUCUAAAUUAAAUGUUGUGCCCGCAUGUGAUAAAAGGCAAGGGGGCUGUUUGAAAAUUACACUGGUAGCGGGCUAGCAGCAUAACCCUCUGUUCAUCGGACCGCUGCACAUCUUGGGCAAACAGCCAAAUACUCCCAAAGUUGGAUGGCUUCUUUGAAAAUAUAUUUUAAUACCAGCUGUUAGUCCUUGCGCAACCUAGAAAACCAAAUUCCCGUAUCUUUUCGUAAUGCUUAUCGCAAAACUUUCCAGAUGGAGAUUAGCCGUCAACCACUAGCACCCAAACGGACCUAUUUAAUGCAUGCGAGCAAGAGUUGGUUUCAUAUCCGACGGCCCAUAGUUUUCCAUCCCGAUCGGAGACAAUCGAUCCACCGUCUCUUCCCCUCCAAAUCCAAGAGAGAAACCCUCGAGCUCUCUCCCUCCUCUCUCUCUCUUCUAAAACCCUCGCCGCCCAGCUCCCAUCCUUUCUGACGCCGCCGCCUAGCUCCCCUCUAGGUUUUCUCCCAAUCUUAGCUUCCCUCUUCUUAAUAUUUAGGGUUUUGGGCGUCCCGGUAGCGCUCCGGUGAGGCGGGUAUGGAGCCGUCGUCGUCGUCUUCAGCGCCGUCGCCGGCGUCGGAGCAGGGAAAGCUCUUCGUCGGCGGGAUCUCGUCGGAAACGAGGGAGGAGGCUCUCGCGGAGCACUUCAAGAAGUACGGGGAGGUGAAGGAGGUGGUGGUCAUGAGGGACAGGACCACGGGGAACGGCCGGGGCUUCGGGUUCGUCCAGUUUUUGGAGCCGGAGGCGGCAGAGAGGGCUCUUCAGGAAAAGGAGAAGCACGUCAUUCGUGGGAGAACGGUUAGUGCUCUUCUUGCCCUCUCGUCUCUCACCGAUCCCUCUUAGUGGAAAAAGGAAGUGAAAAGAAACGAUUUUUCUUUGUUUGUUGGUGUUUUUUUUUCGUUUUCUUGCUUUAUUUUGAGAUUUUAGUGUUUUUUUUCUUUCCUAUGCAUAAAUUCGUGCUUCUAGUUAUGUUUAUCUUUCCGAGAAAUACUUUGUUUGAGGUUGUUCUUUUGCAAAUCGUUCUGUUAUGUGAUAGAAGCAUAGGGGAAAAAUAAAAGGGUAAUGCUGGUUGGUUCGUCUCUGUUAUGAUCAUUACGAAAUCCCUUACGCUUUUUGUUUGCUUUAUAUAUAUAUAUUUUUAAAUUUUAACCUCUCAAGGAAAAAGGGUUUUCGGACAGUAAGGGAAUAUUUAUCGUCUUACAAUUUGUUAGUUUACAAAUAAUUUUUUCAUACUUUAGGGUCUUCCAUUUUUUUUUUUUAGAGAAUUGCUGUAAUUUGAAAAAAAAAAAAAACAAAUUGGUCAAUACAAUUAGUUAGCAAUUGUGAUUUUUUGAUAGUUUUGUUUCCAGCGAUUCAGAAAAUGAAUAAUAGAAAUAGUGAUAUUGUUAUAUCCUUUUAAAAUUCUUGUUUCUCCUUGUUUGCCAUGAUUUGGUUCUGUGCAUUAAUAUGUGGUUUGUGUUUUUUUUUUUUUGUCACUUGACUGUGCUUUUUAGGUAGAAGUGAAGAAAGCGAUACCCAGAGGUGAACAACAUCAAAGAAACCAAUCCCCUCACCACCGAUACCCAAAUCAGAGCCCCCAUCAUAGUAGAGGGUCAAGUAGGAGCAGUACUAACAAUAACAGUAGCAACGGGAGUCACUUUAAGUCGAAGAAGAUUUUUGUAGGUGGUUUGUCUGACAAUAUCACGGAAGAUGAGUUCAAGAAUUAUUUUAAGGAGUUUGGUACAAUAACGGAUGUGGUUGUGAUGUAUGAUAGUGCAACCCAUCGGCCAAGAGGCUUUGGCUUCAUCACCUUUGAUUCUGAGGAGGCUGUGGAGAAAGUAAUGCAGAAAAGUUUCCAUGAGUUGAAUGGUAAAUUUGUAGAGGUUAAGAUAGCAGUGCCAAAGGAUGGGAAUAAUCAUAACAACAAUGGCAAUCAUGAUAAUAACAAUUAUAACUCACGAACGAUUGGUGGUAGAGGACCUGCUUUUAGUAAUUACCCAGGUGGGAUUUACUCACCUUACAGUCCAAGGUAUGAGUAUUUUCAUGGUUACCCACCACCACCUUUGUAUGCUUAUGGUGCUGGUGGUUAUGGAGGAUAUACUAUUGGAGGCUAUGGUGGGAUUGGUUAUGGAAGUCCGAUUCCAGGUCCAAGGGGCCCUUGGAACGUCCAGGGAUGGGUGGCCUCAAGGCGCAGUCCAGUGCCAUACAGCAAUACUUUUACAUAUCCUGGCUACAUCAAUGGAGGCUUUGGUGGCUACACAAGUAUGGCUGGUGGCAGUUUUCGUGGGGUUGCUUCUCUUGGUAAUGGCAAGGGGAAUCAAACUGGCUCUAAUGUGCAAGCAACAGCUGUUUCUUGUACGACAACAUCGCAAGUUGAAACUGUGAAGUUGGAUGCUAAGUAACAUCUUGGUUGGUACUUUACCCAUUUUCCUCUUUCUUUCUUUUGGGUUGAUUUUCUUUAUUAAAGGUUUGUUAUGAGGCAUAGUAAUUCUUCAGUUGUCAUUCUCUAUUGUUAACUAUUAAUCAUGAUGGAGGGUGCCAACUGGCUGAGUUGGCAAAGUCGUUUGUCUUGAUACAAGAGACGUGGGUUCUGUGUGUGUGUGUGUGUGUGUGUGUGUGUGAGAUAAGUGGCUGGGCUUCCACCUGUCCUCGUUCUACAAAAAACAGUAAACUGUCAGUGCAGUUGAGGGCCUCCGUUCUUAUAUAAGUACGUGUUCUCUUUGUUCAUGCCAGGGGCAGAUAUUGGUGGGGCUUUUUGGCGGGGCCAGUGAUGGCACCCAAGACCUUAGAUCUCAAGACCCCUGUACUCUUCCUAUCUUGGAGCUUUCAUGAUUGCUAUACCUCCAUAUGAUAUGUAGAAGUCUUUCUCUGUUAGAAUGCUGAAAUAUUGACAGGAAAAUUGUUAUCUUAAGUAGGAAUUGUUAAUCCAUAGCCAUAGGUGAGAGUUUGCUGAAAAGAUUAUUCAUAUGUGAGAUAAGGGAACCAUGACCAUCUCUAUUUUAAGUAGUAAUUGUUAUUUAAAUACUACCUAGCCUCCCCCCCCCCAAAAAUUCCUCCACAAGUUCUACCAUGUAAUCAAGAAGGUGAUUUUCUUGCCAAUUAAAUCAUCAUUUUCGUUUCUUAAGAAAUCCCUAUCAAAGGGUUAGUAACUUUGUAUCUGUGGUUUGAACUCUGUCUGUAUAUUUAGACUGAGAUUGUUGUCACUUGCUAAUAUGCUUGGGAAAACUCUCUCUGUAUAUUUAUAACUUUGAGCUUCUUUUCUUUCUUUCCUCAAACUAAUACCUGGCAGAAAAUAAUAAUUAAAACAUGAUAUUUUUUUUUAUUUGUUUGUAGGAAUAAAAUUUAGUUAGUAAUUGUGCCCCCCACACUCCCCCCCCACCCCCCCCCAAAAAAAAAAACCAAAAAAGAAAGAAAAGUAGUGACUCCUUAAUUUCAACUGCAAAUCAGUGAUGUGAAUUUCAUUUGCUGGGAAACUAAAAUAGAAGUGUUCUUACCAAAAAUAGAAAAGAAGAAUUCAGUUGAAUAAUAUCUAUUUAUGCAAAAGAGGCAUGCUGUUUCAGUUACAGUGGUCUGCUAGUUUUCCUUUUGUGCAGCCAGUGUUCCACACUUGAGAUUGGAACACCUACUGACUGAUAUUUUUGACGUCUUUUGCUGCUUGGUGACAUUAUUUUGUCAUUUUUAAUGAUUAAUUUGCAUGACUUUGUAGUAUGUUUUGAGUAGAUAGAUAUUUGUUUUGAUGGUUAGACCUGAAAAUGAUGCUUUGCACAUGGAAGAUAACCUUAAUGGUUUAUUAAUAAUUUGGAUUCUGUAGGUUGAAAACCAUUGGAUGGCAAUUUCUUGAAUUUUUCCGGUUCAAUCAUCAAAAAAUAUUUUUAUGCUAGAAUUCUAGUGGUCUGUGCUACACUCCCAGUAAGUUAUAUAAAAUUCAUACACUGUCCUUUUUUAAAAUUUGUAGUUUCAAUGUGCACUUCCCCCUAAUUGUUCCCUUUCUGUUAAUAUGAAUUUAAGUUCGUAGCUGGUAGCAUAUAUUUUCCAAUUUUUUAAUGGUACUUAGGCCUGCAUAUCUAAUUGCAGAUGUUGGGUUAUGGUAUACAGUUUGCUAACUAAAAUGUCCACAUAUCAUGGAAUGGUAUUCUGCUAUUCAAUCCAUUAUGUAUUCUUUAUUCAUUCAUUCAUUUGUUCGUUGGGUUUAUGAGUUUGUACAGAUAAUAGUUACGCUCUUUCAAUGCAUGCACCCGAUUCAUAGUGAUAUAGGAACAAGUUCUUCUCAAGUUCUGUACCAUCAAUUUUUUUUUUUAAUUAAAUAUGUGAGGGGCUUGCCAAUGAAUUUAAGAGUUCUGUUAUUGGAGAUGAGUCACCAUGCAUUGGAUUGCAUCCUAGCAUUGCGAUGACCAUUAUAGUGUACCUUUUGGCCCAUUUGACCAUACUGAUUUUGAAGUUUUUAAAUCUACUUGCAAGUGGUGGGUGACAAAGACCUAGGAAUUUGCCUUUUGAAGUCCUUAUCUAGGCAGCCAAGAUCUGCCCUCCAAUCUACUAAUUAGGCUGCUAGAACAAUUGUUUUAUAGGCUUUUGGGGAUGUUUACUCACUUUUUUUUUUCUUUUUUCCUUUUAACUACUUUUCUUGGUACAUCAUGGGAGACCUUCUGGCUUCUUCCAGGCACCAAGUGUAGUUGACUACCCAAGCCACAUGAAUUUGAAAUAAGGUCUCUCCCUCUUUGAAUCUUCUAUUUGGUCUUUUAAGCUCUUCUCAACCUUUCCUAUUUUUCGCUUUCUUAAAUUUGUUUGUUCUUGUGCUUUCCUUGUCUAUCAUAUUAUAGGUCCUGUGUGUCUCUUUUUUUCUUUUUUCUUUUUUUGAGGGGGGGUGCAUAUUUGUUGGAAGGUCUGAGUGCUCUAAUUGUUGUAUGACUGAGCCUUGCACAUGUGAAUGCACCACACUAAUUAGAAAAAGAUUCAUUGUUCUGCAUGUAGUCAUUCAUGUUCAGGACCAGGGCCUACUGCAUUUGCAUUUGUGAAGUGACACAACAUUAAUUAAUAUGCUACCAUCUGGUACCCCACACUAAGCUUGUUGAAACCCACAUUAUCCUAUUGAAUAUUUAGAAAAUCUGCCUUUUUUCCUGCAUUUAUCAAUUCAUGUGUGGUCCAGGUUUACGGCAUUUGUAGUUUCUCGAUCACGGCUUGUUGCCUGUAUUUAGCUCACAGAACUCUGUUACUUAGUUUUUUUUUCAGUCACUAGGAAAGAAUACUAUAAAUAUGUGAAUUGGUUUGUGCAAGUAUGUUUAGAGGCUAAUUAUUGUAAGAAGUGUUUGGGUUUGCUUGGUGAUGAUGUAUCUUAUCCUUUUUUGGUUUGAUAGGUUGUUAAAUGUUUCAUAUUUAGUAAUCAGAUGAGUCAAAGUGGAUCCUAGAGUUAUCAAAGUUGUUGAGUAACUUCGUCUAUCUUUUCCAUGUUUGGCUUUUAUGAGGAUUUGAAUUUUGUAGCCUUAUACAAGAAAUUUUUUGGACGCCUGUUUCACUUCAAUUAGCCACAUAUCCUCACCAAGCAUGGUAGCUGAAUUCAUAAAUGAGGUGUAGUUAUUGUAACGAUAAUUUUUUGGGCACACCAAAAUGUUUUGGCAAGCAAUUGCUUGGCCUGGUUUACUGCAAACACACCCCAUCCCUGGCGCUCACUUCCCCUUUCCCUUCCCCCUUUCCCCCUGUGGAGUCUGCCCUCCUUUUUUGUUAGUUGCUUUCUUCACUAUGCUACAUCACAAAAUAUACUCUUAACUGACCUACAUGAAAUGACCAUGAUAUAUGGAGCGAUCUUAUAUAUAGAUCUCAUGUAUACAUUCAAGUACCACCUUGUAGAAUAUUAUUGCAGUAUUUAAUUUGGAUAACAAAAGAUGGAUUAAUGGGUUAUAGUGGAAGAUUGAAUUCUUUGCUGAGGGUUAAAGCAGUAUCACAUUUGUGCUUAUGACACCAUGUUGGCUUGAUAUUUGACGCUCAUUUCCUCAAUAUUUACAAGAUUGUAGAAAGAUUCGAAUAGGCACUCUACUUUUUUGGUUUUGCAUCUUAGCUAAUGGUAAUUGCUUUAGAAGUGGACCUGUUUGGAACAGUUACAUGUGUUUUUUUGAUUAUUCUAAUAAUGCAUAUUCAAAAUACGUGCAUGUUGAUUGUAGAUAUAGUAGUGUGUGUCACCCAAACUCUCUUCUCCAUCUUUUUUGGGGAUUAAUGCAAAGUUGGCCUAUCGCAACAAUGAAUUCAACCCACUGUAAUGACAUUAGAAGUGGACUUUUAUUGUUUUUGGAGCUGAUUAAAAAUGAAGGUAUUAAGAUGACUUUUUAAAAGGUCAUGUUCCUUCAUUCAUAAGUAAAUUUUAGUAUUUGGAUGGGAAACCUUUAUAAAAUGAUUGUCUUCUAUUUUGCAUACAAUAUUUAAGAAAAUUUAAAUGUCUAAUCUAGUUUGCACUAUAUUUUCAGUAUCUCUAUGCCUCCUUUUCUAACUUUUAGUUUUUAUUGAUGUUGAAACUUGAAUAUAUCCAAAUUUGGUUCAUGUCCUUGCAUUUUGCGACAUUGCUUGAAACAUGGCUUGUCGUAUGGGUACAUAACGUCCUGUACUGGAUGUAUUGUAAUAAUACUAAAUUGUUACUUGGUAUGGGGUGUAUGGAGUGUCAAUAUGCCAAACUGAUGUAGAUAGAUGAUUUACCAACAUGGAACCUAUAGGGGUACAGAAAUCGGUAUUUCAAACCAUGGCUUGAAACAUUUAGACUUCAUAAUACAUAGGUUUAAUGUGCAAUUAUAAUAAAUCAUGGAUAUAAUGGAUCACACAACUACUGACAAAGAAAACAUAGAAUGCAUGGAGGUUUGUAGUGGAAAAGAAGACAGUUGAAUCAUGCGUAUGUUGUUAUUAAAGCCUAUUGGUGGCAAAUAGGGAUCGCAACGAGUUGGGUAUAGGUCGGGUCGACCAAUAUCCAUAUCCGCCUUGCCAUGAAAAACUCAUACUCAUACCCACCCCGUACCCAUCCGAGAUUGGAUCGGACAAAAUAGAGGAGGUGGGUUAGGUUGGGUUGGAUUGGAUAUACCUGCCUUGCUUCCGAUCGGGUCAGGUUGGAUCUCACAAAAAUCCCUCAAACCCCACAAACUAUGAUGCUUCAACCAAAGCUCUAAAAACCUCAAGGAACCAACUCACACCACCACAACAUAAGAAAUCCCUCCGAUCUCCCUCAGGUGCUCUCCUUCCCCAAAGAAUCAUAGAUCUACGAAAAAGAGAAUAAAAUAAAGAGAAAAAGAAGCAAGAAAGGGAAACGAUGACCAAGCUAUGUGGGAAAAGGUCUUACCUCUAGUUCUCCCUUCGAUCUCUCUCAGGUGCUCUCCUGCCCCAUAGAAUCACAGAUCUCCGAAAAGGAGAAUAAAACUAAGAGAAAAGGGAAAAAAUGAUCAAGUUAUGUGGGAAAACAUCUUACCUUUUAUUUUUUUUAUUUUUGUUUUUCCCUUGUUUUCAUUGUUUUUUCCUAUGUUUUCCCUCAAUUUUUCCUCUUUUUUUCCGUCCUCGAGAGUCUCAAUUGGGUGGGAGGCUUGGAGUGGCGGAAUAGGAAAGCUAGGGUCAUGUUUUCUCCCAUUUUUCCUCUGUUUUUUUUCCAUCCUCGAGGUCUCAAUUAGGUGGGAGGCUUGGAGCGGCAUGUUUUCUCCCCCAUUUUUCCUCAAUUUCUUUCAUCCUUAGGAGUCUCAAUUGGGUGGGAGGCUUGGAGCGGCCGAAUAGGAAUACUUAGGUGAUGGGAUGGCUAGGAUUGUAUAUAUAUGUAUAUAUAUCGGAUUAGGUUCGGGGUGAGAUAUAUCAUUAUCCGUAUCCGAUCUAAACUUGCUUCAAUUAUUUUUUUCUAGAACCCAACCCCCUCGGGUGAUUUUAAUCGAGUUGGGUUAGAUACUUGACGGGUCAGAUGAAAUUGCUAUCCCUAGUGGCAAACAUGUGGCGGCCUUGACGGUUCCUUGGCAGCAGCCCACCAUUUCCAUGUGGCUCAUAGCCCAAAAUUUGCAUGUGGGCAGCGGCAACACCUGUCUGAACCAAACAACCUUGAAUGUCGUCCAUGACUAUCUGAAGUGACCUUGAGUGCCACACUCGAAUUGCCAAAAGCGAUUGUUGGGUUAUCAUCAUGUGACCCAUUUUUACCUAACCCACUUUUUAGAAAUGCCUGAUUGCCUGCCUCCAGCACUUGCUUUGGCAUGGGUGUCUGUCCAUGUUCCUGAUGGAGGCUAGGCUGUCUGAGCUGCUUUGGUUACAUGCCCAGGUGAUUGCCUCCUUUUUAAAAUAGUGUCUGAAUAUUAGUUUGACUCUAGGUAGCUUGGACUUAUUUAUAUACAAAUUGGAAAUACUGCAAUCCAUGUAAGCCUAUAUUGUUGUCUAGAAUUUGCAGUCAGUCAGGUAGGUUUGUUAAUUGGUCUUGUAUUGAUGCUCAUCAAAUCAUGCUAGUAAUCAUGUGCCAAGACAAGUCAAUAAUGUCAUCAUUUAUUUGAUGGUGAUCAUAAUUUGAUGACUCUGCAUCAUUUGCAUUUUCCGCAAACAAUCCGAAUCAACAUCAAAACACCAUUCAACAACAAGGAUGAUUGCUAGAAGCUUCCUUUUUUAUUUCUUUGCAAUGAAUUUGUUGAAUAUUUUGUUACUGUGAUACUUCUCCACCAAGCAUCACAUUUUCUGCAGCUGCCUCAAUGUGCUUUGCUUCGAUGGAGGCAUCAAGUGCUUCAAAAAAUCCAAAAAGGGGAUAUUGGAUUAUGAAAGGGUCACCAUACUUGAUGUUUGUUCAUUCUCUAUGGAUGAACGUAGAGGACUAUAAAGAGGGAACAGUUAGUGAGGAAGGAAAUGAGAUCAGAUAAAAAAAGGUUGAGGUCGGCCCAUAGAUUGGAAAAGAAGGAAGCAAAUUAUGAUUUUCUCCAUACUUUAGAGGUCCAGGGCACCUUUUAGUAUGAUAGAAUAACUCGUGCCUUAUAUACAUCAUUGCAUUUUACAUCUAUCUCAUCCAUUAAAAUUUAUCAGAAUGAACUAUGAUAUUGGAAUAUCUGAUGCUUUAUCACUACAUUUCUCCACUUUGAAAAGGUGGGUUCGAAAAAUAUAUGGCAAAUUGGCUUGCUUACCCUUUUUUACUUUAGUAAUUUCUGUCAGAAAUAUCUAGGAGGUGACUUCAUCAUGCUUAUGUUUGACCACAAUCACUGGACCUGAGUCCAAGCAGUAUAGCUUUGUAGUGUCCAAUAAUGUAAGGAAAGAAAAGAGAACGUGUCAACAUGCUCAGAAUCAAAUACAUGACAAAGAUGAACGUUUCAACAGACUUGGAAGUCAGAGAAUUGCCGCAUUUACUUGUGAUAGAUACAGGUUUUGCUUGGACUUUUCAGUGGAUCAGGACUAUCAAUAAGAUUAUAUGCUUACUGAGUCGUUUCAUUUGUCUGCAUCUUCCAGUAUGUUGGGAAGCACUAUCGAGGGUUGUCCAGUGUCAGUUGUGCAUAAAACAAUAUAUGCUUAUUGAUGUACACCAUCCUUUUUUUCCCCUGUAUUACAUUUUCUAUUUGUUUAUCUGUGAUUAGUUUUGAUUCUUCACAUGAUGAAGCUUGGCACUGUUUGAAGAUUCGUUUUUUCUAUUGUUGACUUCAAUGUUAGAUUGUCACUUCAUUCUAUUUACUAACUCUGGAAGACAAGGCUACCCACUUGAGGUGGAUCUCAGGAGAGCAUAUGAUACUUUCCAAUUCUUCUCCCUCUUGCUCCUCUUCGUAACAGUUGCUUUACAUCCAAGUAGUUUAAGAUUUCUUGUUAACAAUAAUUUUUAGCCUUACUUUCCUGCACAGCUGAUUUCAUUCUAUAGAAUAAAUUCUUAGGCCUGCAGCUAGUGGAUUGGUCAGGAGACCAGGGAUAUUGUUUGCCUGAACCACUACCCAUCCCAACAUCACCACUACCAGUUACAACAUUGCUCUGAGCAUAUUACCAUGUUUUAAUUCGUAUCAUGCUUUCUGCUGGAACAAAAAUGCACAGAAAAGCUUAGGCUGGAAAUUUCCUUAAGCUUUAGAUAUCUACUGUUGUUACUUUCAGCUAAAAUUUUGUGCAGCUUGUUGAACAAAUUGCUCAUUAGUAGAUAUUAGAGUUUGCUUGUCAAAUGAAGUUAUUUAAGUUGGCUGCUUGAAGUAUUCAAGCCUUAUGUGAAUGGCUGCUAACCAAAAUCUGUACUUGGGAACAGGAUGUUACUUCUCGCCGUGCGCCCAACACAGGCUUUCUCACCAUUUAGCUGGUAAUUGUUCUGAAGCCUGAAUCUCAAUUCUCUGAUGAAAAUAGCCAUUUGAAUGAACUCAACUUUCUUUUAUACAUUUGUGCUUUAACUUAAUUGGCUGAAAACUUGGUGGUUGGAUGGGUGGCCUGGCAGGACCACAUGUUAUAUUUUUUUUAAUUCUUAAAUGCUGUCUCAGCAACCUUGUGGUUUGGAUGGAUAAGGUGGUAUUUGCAUGAAUGGUAGGGAUGGCACCUUGGUGGUGCUGCACCCUAAUCAUUAGGAGUACCUUUUUCUCAGCCUGUCUCUAGCUGAUAUUUCUUCACCUAGCAGCCGAAUUUUAUUAGGAUGGAUCUCUUUAAGUUCUCUCGAACACCUAGAAUCACGGGCAAGACUCUGGCAACAGAAAAUACUGCUUAUGCGAUAGAUGCCAACUUGUUGUUGAGGUAUCAGAUAUUAUCACAGAUCCUGAGCAAAGAAAUUCUUGGGGUGGCUGAUUAAACCUAGGUGUUGUAUUAGAGGCCUUGGGCUGAGGAAACUAGGUUCUUUGGGAAAAGGUUUAUUCUCCGUGAUGCUUCCUGAAAAUGAUGUGGAGGCUGGUGAAGGGUUCAAACUUGCGAGUUAAUGUUUUUGUGUAGCAUAUGGCACCACUUGAGUUUACUUCUUGUGCCCAUUAGUGUGCCAUCAGAAUGUAGCCUUGACUAACAUACGUGGGAGGUGUGGUGAGCUUGUUAAUUUAAGGAUAGUGUGAUUAGUGGUGGAGCAAAGCAAUAAGGUUGCGGGGAUGCAUGCUUGGGAUGAACAUGGAAUAACCACUAUAAGAUGGGGAA